AACCCUUAAGCAUCCGCCUGGGAGUACGUCGCAAGAUUAAACUCAAAGAAUUGACGGGGCCCGCCCAAGCGGUGGAGCAUGUGGUUUAAUUUGACGCAACGCGCAGAACCUUACCAGCCCUUGGCAUGUCCAGGACCGGUCGCAGAGAUGUGACCCUUUCUUCGGAGCCUGGAACACAGGUGCUGCAUGGCUGUCGUUAGCUCGUGUCGUGAGAUGUUGGGUUAAGUCCCGCAACGAGCGCAACCCCCGUCCUUAGUUGCUACCAUUUAGUUGAGCACUCUAAGGAGACUGCCGGUGAUAAGCCGCGAGGAAGGUGGGGAUGACGUCAAGUCCUCAUGGCCCUUACGGGCCGGGCUACACACGUGCUACAAUGGCGGUGACAGUGGGAUGCUAAGGGGCGACCCUUCGCAAAUCUCAAAAAGCCGUCUCAGUUCGGAUUGGGCUCUGCAACUCGAGCCCAUGAAGUUGGAAUCGCUAGUAAUCGUGGAUCAGCACGCCACGGUGAAUACGUUCCCGGGCCUUGCACACACCGCCCGUCACACCAUGGGAGUUGGUUUUACCUGAAGACGGUGCGCUAACCGCAAGGAGGCAGCCGGCCACGGUAGGGUCAGCGACUGGGGUGAAGUCGUAACAAGGUAGCCGUAAUCG
rnacentral:rRNA from 1 species